rnacentral:rRNA from 1 species
GAGCGGGCGUAGCAAUACGUCAGCGGCAGACGGGUGAGUAACGCGUGGGAACGUACCUUUUGGUUCGGAACAACACAGGGAAACUUGUGCUAAUACCGGAUAAGCCCUUACGGGGAAAGAUUUAUCGCCGAAAGAUCGGCCCGCGUCUGAUUAGCUAGUUGGUGAGGUAAUGGCUCACCAAGGCGACGAUCAGUAGCUGGUCUGAGAGGAUGAUCAGCCACAUUGGGACUGAGACACGGCCCAAACUCCUACGGGAGGCAGCAGUGGGGAAUAUUGGACAAUGGGGGCAACCCAGAUCCAGCCAUGCCGCGUGAGUGAUGAAGGCCCUAGGGUUGUAAAGCUCUUUUGUGCGGGAAGAUAAUGACGGUACCGCAAGAAUAAGCCCCGGCUAACUUCGUG